GAUGAACGCUGGCGGCGUGCCUAAUACAUGCAAGUAGAACGCUGAAGGAGGAGCUUGCUCUUCUGGAUGAGUUGCGAACGGGUGAGUAACGCGUAGGUAACCUGCCUGGUAGCGGGGGAUAACUAUUGGAAACGAUAGCUAAUACCGCAUGACAACAGUUAUUGCAUGAUAACUGUUUAAAAGGGGCAACUGCUCCACUACCAGAUGGACCUGCGUUGUAUUAGCUAGUUGGUGAGGUAACGGCUCACCAAGGCGACGAUACAUAGCCGACCUGAGAGGGUGAUCGGCCACACUGGGACUGAGACACGGACCAGACUCCUACGGGAGGCAGCAGUAGGGGAUAUUAGGAAAUGGACGGAAGCGUGAGCGUGCAACGGCGCGGGAGUGAAGAAGGUGUCCGGAUCGUGAAUCGCUGUCGUAUGAGAAGCACGAGUGUGGUAGUGGACAGGUCACCCUGUGACGGUACCUUACCAGAAAGGGACGGCUAACUCCGUG
rnacentral:rRNA from 1 species